UGAGGAAUAUUGGUCAAUGGUCGCAAGACUGAACCAGCCAUGCCGCGUGCAGGAUGAAGGCGCUAUGCGUUGUAAACUGCUUUUCUCUGGGAAUAAACCCCUUUACGUGUAAAGGGCUGAAGGUACCAGAGGAAUAAGCACCGGCUAACUCCGUGCCAGCAGCCGCGGUAAUACGGAGGGUGCAAGCGUUAUCCGGAUUUAUUGGGUUUAAAGGGUGCGCAGGCGGGGCUUUAAGUCAGUGGUGAAAUCUCUUCGCUUAACGAAGAAACUGCCAUUGAUACUGAAGUUCUUGAAUCUAGUUGACGUUAGUGGAAUGUGUCAUGUAGCGGUGAAAUGCUUAGAUAUGACACAGAACACCGAUCGCGAAGGCAGCUAACGAAGCUAGUAUUGACGCUCAGGCACGACAGCAUGGGGAGCAAACAG
rnacentral:rRNA from 1 species